rnacentral:rRNA from 1 species
UACGGAGGGUGCAAGCGUUGUCCGGAUUUAUUGGGUUUAAAGGGUGCGUAGGCGGUUCUUUAAGUCUGGGGUGAAAGCCCGUUGCUCAACAACGGAACUGCCCUGGAAACUGGAGGACUUGAGUACAGACGAGGUGGCGGAAUGGAUGGUGUAGCGGUGAAAUGCAUAGAUACCAUCCAGAACCCCGAUUGCGAAGGCAGCUGCC